rnacentral:rRNA from 1 species
GACGAACGCUGGCGGCGUGCCUAAUACAUGCAAGUCGAACGGAGUGGCGCCCGGGUGAGUAAUGUAUAUCUAAUAUGCCCUACACUAGAGGACAAAAGUUGGAAACGGCUGCUAAUACUCUAUAGUGUAGGAUGAGGCUAUAUUGUAUCAGCUAGUUGGUGAGGUAAUGGCUCACCAAGGCUAUGACGCAUAACUUGUCUGAGAGGAUGAUCAUGCACACCUUAACUGAGACACGGUCCAUACGCCUACGGGAUGCAGCAGUAGGGAAUACUGCUCAAUGGGGGAAACCCUGAAGCAGCAACGCCGCGUGGAGGAUGACACUUUUCUGAGCGUAAACUCCUUUUGUUAGGGAAGCGGUACCUAACGAAUAAGCACCGGCUAACUCCGUGCCAGCAGCCGCGGUAGUAC